rnacentral:rRNA from 1 species
CGUGAGGGAAAGGUGAAAAGAACCCCGGGAGGGGAGUGAAAUAGAACCUGAAACCGUUAAGCUUACAAGCAGACAGAGCGCGUUAAGGCGUGAUGUCGUACUUUUUGUAGAACGGGCCGGCGAGUUACGAUGUGAUGCGAGGUUAAGUGUUAAAGACACGGAGCCGAAGCGAAAGCGAAUCUGAAGAGGGUGCAAAGUAUCAUGUCGUAGACCCGAAACCGAAUGACCUAACCAUGAGCAGGUUGAAGCAAUGGUAAAACGUUGUGGAGGACCGAACACACGCCUGUUGAAAUAGUCGGUGAUGACUUGUGGUUAGCGGAGAAAUUCCAAACGAAUUCGGAUAUAGCUGGUUCUCCUCGAAAUAGCUUUAGGGCUAGCCUCGUAUAUAAUCCUUGUGGGUAGAGCACUAAAUGGCCUAGGGGGCUUCACAGCCUACCGAAGCUUAUUAAACUCCGAAUCGCAAGGAAUUGAGUACGGGAGUCAGACAGCGACAGCUAAGUGCCGUUGUCAAAAGGGAAACAGCCCAGAUCUACAGCUAAGGUCCCCAAGUACAGGUUAAGUGGAAAAGGAUGUGACAAUGCAUAGACAACCAGGAUGUUGGCUCAGAAGCAGCCACGCAUUAAAAGAGUGCGUAAUAGCUCACUGGUCGAGUGAUGUUGCGCCGAAAAUUAACGGGGCUCAAACCUGACACCGAAGCUUAGGAAUACGCGAUGCGUAUUGGUAGAGGAGCAAUGUAUACGCGCAGAAGCCGUACCGGAAGGAGCGGUGGAGUGUAUAGAAGAGAGAAUGCCGGCAUAAGUAGCGAGAGCGGAGCGAGAAACUCCGCCGUCGAAAGUCUGAGGUUUUCCGGGGAAGGUUCGUCCGCCCGGAGUAAGUCGGGACCUAAGCGGAGGCCGAAAGGCGUACGUGAUGGACAACAGGUUGAUAUUCCUGUACUACCGAGAAAGAUAAUGAUGCAGUGACACGGAAAGAUAGAAGAAGCGCGCAGAUGGAAAAGCGCGUCCAAGCAAUGAGGGCGGCUGGUAGUAAAGAACGCCAGUCAAAAAGCCUGAGUUGUGACGGGGAGUGGACCAAGGAAACGAAGUCUUCGAAUCUACGCCGGCGAGAAAAGCUGCUAAAUAUUUCGAGGUACCCGUACCGCAAACCGACACAGGUAGACGAGAAGAAAAUUCUAAGACGAACGGGAGAACCCUUGUUAAGGAACUCGGCAAAAUGACCCCGUAACUUCGGGAGAAGGGGAGCCACUGAAAGGUGGCCGCAGUAAAGAGGCCCAAGCGACUGUUUAUCAAAAACACAGGUUUCUGCUAAGGCGAAAGCCAAGGUAUAGGAGCUGACUCCUGCCCAGUGCCGGAAGGUCAAGGGGAUUCGUUAGCGCAAGCGAAGCGAUGAACUUAAGCCCCGGUGAACGGCGGCCGUAACUAUAACGGUCCUAAGGUAGCGAAAUUCCUUGUCGGGUAAGUUCCGACCCGCACGAAUGGAGUAACGAUUUGGGCACUGUCUCAACAGGGGGCCCGGCGAAAUUGUAGUAUACGUGAAGAUGCGUAUUAACCCGCGACUGGACGGAAAGACCCCGUAGAGCUUUACUGUAACUUGAUAUUGAAUC